rfam:Ornithorhynchus anatinus chromosome 2, whole genome shotgun sequence.
CCCCUCUCAGGAUCACACCUGGAGAGUUUCUAGUGUACUCUACCAGUCUCGGCUAUGGGAGGGAGAGUCAAGCAGAGGCAUACCCAUUCCACUCCUAGCUUGGAUAGUGACUAGCGAGUGGAAAAUGAUCUGCUACAAGU